rnacentral:rRNA from 1 species
UUUAUGGAGAGUUUGAUCCUGGCUCAGGAUGAACGCUGGCGGCGUGCCUAAUACAUGCAAGUCGAGCGAACGGAUGAGAAGCUUGCUUCUCUGAUGUUAGCGGCGGACGGGUGAGUAACACGUGGAUAACCUACCUAUAAGACUGGGAUAACUUCGGGAAACCGGAGCUAAUACCGGAUAAUAUUUUGAACCGCAUGGUUCAAAAGUGAAAGACGGUCUUGCUGUCACUUAUAGAUGGAUCCGCGCUGCAUUAGCUAGUUGGUAAGGUAACGGCUUACCAAGGCAACGAUGCAUAGCCGACCUGAGAGGGUGAUCGGCCACACUG